CAACGCGCAGAACCUUACCUGGUUCUUUGACAUCCCGAGAAUUUUCUGGAAACAGAGAAGUGCCCUCGCAAGAGGAAAUUUCGGGAGACAGGUGCUGCAUGGCUGUCGUCAGCUCGUGUCGUGAGAUGUUGGGUUAAGUCCCGCAACGAGCGCAACCCUUGUCUUUAGUUGCCAUCAUUAAGUUGGGCACUCUAAAGAGACUGCCGGUGUCAAACCGGAGGAAGGUGGGAUGACGUCAAAUCAUCAUGCCCCUUAUGUUCUGGGCUACACACGUGCUACAAUGGCCGGUACAGACGGACGCAAAGCCGCGAGGUGGAGCAAAUCCUAAAAAGCCGGUCUCAGUUCGGAUUGCAGGCUGCAAUUCGCCUGCAUGAAGUCGGAAUCGCUAGUAAUCGCAGGUCAGCAUACUGCGGUGAAUACGUUCCCGGGCCUU
rnacentral:rRNA from 1 species